AGAAAUGGAGAUUACCAGUUCUGGUCCUAUUUAAGACUGGGGAGAAAAUGCAAAAUUCUGAUAUCUCUGCAAGGUUGGAGAGCAGUUUCCCACGGAGCUCUCCUCAGAUGAGAUUGCAGAAAUUCUUCUGUUUUCUCCUUCCUCCCUGGCUCUGCCACCAGGCAAUUCUGUUCACACUGUUCUCCAAGACAGAAUCUGAGCCAGGCUGAGAUUUGUGCUGAUGGUAAACAGUGUCACCUAGUGGAUAACCGGCAUCGAUUUCCCUAAACUGUGGAAGAAGUUUGGCCGUGCGGUUUUUCCAUCUUGUCCUAGAAAAAAAUAUUAUCUCAAAUGGGAAGGAGCCCUGUGCUGAGCAAUGGGGUCGCUGCCAAAUGUCUACAAUUCCAAAGUCGCGGGAUUUGAUGGCCAGCACUUCGUGGGACGUUUGUCAUGAGCAUGGGCACAGAUCCAGCCCCAUCACCAGCUAAAAAGGGGAAGAACCAAACCUCCAGCUCAGUGCCUGAAGAGCAAAAGGUUAUAGCAGCACAUCUCGAAAUAUUCAUUUCCUGCAUGUGUAAAGGUGUACUGGACUCCACAUCAUCUCCUGCACCAUCAGCUGCCCCUCUCAAGGCACAGAAAACAAGAGGAUGUCAGGAGGCGCCUGCCAUGCAAUCAGCUGAGGCUUCUGAGCAGUAAAAGCUAAAACAAAACCAAAACAAAACAAAAACCCCAAACAAACAAAACCACAAAAAACCCUGCAAAGUCCUUGGAGUAGAAGAUAUGGCAGAGAGUAUUGGAAAGCAAGAGAAGAGUAUAAGUUCCAUAAGAAAUCUCUCAUCCUGAGAGGAUAGAAUGAUAACUUUGGGGGUGUGGUGGCAGGUAUCUAUGAGGAAAGCUACCUAGAGAAAGCAAGAGAUAAGAUAAGCCAUGGAGAGCCUUCUGAGUUAGAAAUAACAGGUUAGAAAAUCAGGACGUGUUAACCUCAACCAAGAGUAAACUGCUCGGGAAGGAAGGACACGCUCCUGGAAACUAAACUGAGCCUGGAUAUCCUGAAGACCACUUGCAGCACUUAGGUUUCUGCUUUCUAACUAACUUUGCUGUCAGGAUCCCUUGGAGUCAAGAUGGAUUUGGACCAGAACACUGCAGGAAGAGAUAAAUAUAAACAGAAUAGAGACAAAAAUGGAAAAGAGCUCUUCAGAGUCAAGGAAACUCCUGGGGGAAAAAAAGAGGUAGAAUUCAAGUAGCAAAAGGUGAGAACUCAGGUAACUUGGUUUCUAAACAAAUCAAAGACUGACAUUCAGCUGGCUUUGUGCAGGUUGGGUGGGAAGUGGAGGGUUUAUGUUCCACUCUCACCCUGUUCUUCCUCCUCCUGUAACAUCAUCACUGCAGUUUGUUACAAUUGCAUUCGGGGUAUUUUUUUGAAAAUCCCACUGAUACCCUUCUCCUUUCCUCACAUUGGACAAACGUGAAGGAGAGCAAAAGCAUGGCGUGGCAAAAGAGACGGCUCUUCCAUGUCCGAGAGCCAGCAGGUGGGAAAACCCAGGUGAAAAUUCAGGAUAUUAUCAACAUCUUCUUCACAUAAACACCAGUUGUGGAGCAGAGGAGGAUUGCUCUAUCACUGGACUCCAGCAGGCUGGCUGUGAGCAUUCUUAGACUGAACAUUUGCAGCAGGUAAUUUGAUGUGGCUUUGGUCAAAAGCAAUAAGCCAGAGCAUCCUCAAGAAUCUAUGGAAUUGUAGUUAAAAUGAUAAAUAUUUUAUUUUCAUAGGUUAGGACACCUGAGCUCUAGCACUUAAUUAUCUUCCAAAUAGGAGGAAAAUAGUGAUUGAUUCUUAUGGAAGAUUGUUCUGCUAAGUUUGUGUUUGGCCUCUGUUCUCCUCAUUUUUGUCAUACGUCAAAUGGAUGGUCUGUCAUUCUUCUCCAAAGGAGGGAAAGCAAUUUUUGUGUAGAGCCCAGAGGAGCUCUGUUUACAGGCAAGCUGAAAUAUGCUGCAAGUCAGGACACUUUCUCACCUGAGCAUACACCAUGUUUCCAAAGCAAACACUGGCAUAAUUGUGUUUGCUCAGGUUUGAACAGUUUUCCUUCAAACUAUUUCAUGGGUUUUUUUUUUUUUUUAUACCAGUCUUCUUGGACCAGUCCCCACUGA